rnacentral:tRNA from 1 species
GAGGGCAUAGCUCAGUGGUAGAGUGCAUGCUUAGCAUGCGUGAGGUUCUGGGUUCAAUCCCCAGUCCUUCCA